rfam:Triticum aestivum genome assembly, contig: Triticum_aestivum_CS42_TGACv1_scaffold_249630_3DL
GACCUACUCCCUCCGUUCUAAAUUGCUCGUCGUAGAAAUGGAUGUAUCUAGAACUAAAAUACAUCUAAAUACAUCCAUACCUGCGACAAGUAAUUCGGAACGGAGGGAGUAGCAG